UCAGCCACAGCUCAAAGUCCAGGAGGAGGUGCAUUAGAAAACAGGUGAUCAACAAGUAAUGAGCAGCCAGGUGAAUAUUUAACAGCCAAGCCCUACUCUACAAGUUCAGUGACAUAACUGCCAUGUAAUCUUCAGUCCAGGGAAUCUGUUUGAACCGUGCGAACACCCUCGGCUGAAACUGGCGUUUCCUUUUACUUCAUCAUGUACCGACAGUGUGACACCUAAGUCAGAAUGGAGCAUCUACAGAAUGUGAAAAUUCUGAUUAAAGUCAUGGCUAUUGUUCUGCACUGUGGAGGUUCCUCGGCUGACACAACAAGAAGGCUGAGUGUCUUGGUGGGCACAGACGUGACUCUGGGCUGCCUGUUUGAUAAACUGUCCAAGCUGGUGGAGUGGAGCGCUCUCACCGUUGAGUGGAACAUGGUGGACCAACGUGCAGAAAAGAGCAUUGUGUACACUGUGGAGGAUGGUAGAGCGUAUGUGAGCAGAGAUGGCUUUGUGGUGGAUAAAAAGCGGUUGCUAGAAGGCGAUGCAUCUUUGCAGCUUCGCAAUGUGACUGUGGGAGAUGAAGGCCUGUACACCUGCAGGAUCAUCACACCUGUAGUCUACACAGAGACCACUGCACUGGAAGUGCUGGCUCGGCCUUCAGUGAUGCUCCCAGAAAAGGCAGCAGUGAUAGAGGGGGAGGAGAGGACGAUACAGUGCGACAUUGCAGGUUUUUAUCCAGAGAAACUGACCAUGACAUGGUACAUCCAAAAUGGCUCCCGCACUGUCCACGCUGGUGGAAGCCACCUCUCCCGUGUUUGCACUGAAAUGGCCAUCCACAACCCAGACGGCACCUACAGUAUUCGCAGUGGCAUCACACUGCACUCAUCAGCAGUGAAAGACAGAGAGAUACAACUCAUCUGCCAGGUGGAGCACCAGACCUACAGUCGGACUUACAACAGAUCUGUUACACUGACCGUUCAAGCUCCACCACGGCCCCUUUACAGUGCUGUUACACUGAUAGCUGUCACCAGUGUCAUCAGUUUGUUGCUGGUUACCUCUGUUAUUGGAGGCACUUUACUUCUCUACAGGUAUUUCUGUAGAGCUCUUCCAAGUGUUUCUGAUAUCAGCCAACCCAGCAUCAUAUACGCUCAGGUGCCGUUCAACCUCAAAUGCUCCAUCCAAGGGGCAAGACAGCGAGAGCUCAAAGUGAAGUGGUUUAGAUUAAACGGCAGUGUGGACCCAGUGGUCCAGUCAGAAUCCGUUGCUCUGUUGGGCAACAAGGAUCUAAGCGAACACGCUUGUCUCCAGUCAGACGGCAGACACCACACAUCUGUCCUGACUGUGUGUCUGACAGUCACUGAAGACCGGACCAAAUACCAGUGUGUAGUACUGUGCAGGGGCAAGAGCUUCAGCAAAGAGACCACAGUCCAGGUAAAAGUGGAGCCGUCUUUCCUCCAGAUCUCCAGCAUCCCUCAGAUCCCCAAGGUGGAGAAGAUGCUGGUUCUAUGCUGUCGGGUGGAGAACUUCUACCCCCAGGACGUGGACAUGGAGUGGUCCAGGAACGACGGGGAGCAGGUCCGCAAAGUCACACACUUUGGACCUUUCUCCGAUCACAACCGCCUCUACAGCGUGUGGAGUAAGAUCCAGCUGGUCAUGGCGAGAGAGGAUGAGAGGGCCAUCUACACCUGCCGUGUUUACCACUCCAGCUUCUCUGCUCCGGGCUACAAAGAUGUCCUGUACCACAUCAACACUCAAGGAACUCCUCCUACUGUGAUGUUCAUCGACUGUGACCCGCCGUGUCCCCUGUUGAACCAAGAGUGUACACUGCACCUGUGUAUCAAAGACUUCUGUCCUGAGGACGUGUCAGUCAUUUGGACUAAAGACGGAGAGAUGGUUUGCUCCGGCGUCUUCAACACUCCCCCAAGCCUGAACAUCAACGGUCUCUACUCCAUGUUCAGUUUCCUCAAACUCACUCCCAACAAGGAUGACCAGAGCUCCAAGUUCAGCUGCCAGGUAGUCCACAGCGCCCAGAGGGAUCCUGAGGAGAGGUUCUUCACACUGCCUAACCUGCACCUGACAGAUGUCCUCUGAUGUCCUCACGGUGUAAACUGAUCAGUCCACAGUAGUUUCAUCUGUAACAGCGGGAAUGCAGAACAGUAGAGGUAAAGCUACAAUAUGUAUAUAUACAAUAUAUAAACACAGAUUAUGAAUUAUUUUUCAUAAUCUGAGCAUGGUGGGCAGAGUGACACCAUCAAGUUCCCGUUUUGGCCCUGCAAGGGAAAACGUUUUUUACGUGUGUUCUUCCAUUAUCCCAAAUGUUUCCAACAAUGUUCAAACUCUGUAAUUUUAUUCAGGUAACACUGCGUUUCACUGGUUGCCUGUCAAUGGCGUCAUAUGGGGCGGCUGUGGCACAGAGGCAGAGUCGGGUCGUCCCCUAAUAGGAUGGUUGUUGGUUCGAUCCCCAGCUCCUGGUGCCACAUGUCAAAGUAUCCUUGAGCAAGAUACUGAACCUCGAAUUGCUCCCGAUGCCAUGCAUCGGUGUGUGAAUGUGUAUGAAUGAGUUAGUUAAUGUUUGAUGGGCUGGACAUUUCUUACAACUUAUUUUAUGCAUUGAAAAAACAUCCUUUACAAUGGGCCACCACUGAGUGAAUGUUUGUGAAAGGGCGAAUGUGCCAUGUAGUGUAGAAGCACUUUGAAUGGUCGGAUGAAUAGAAAGGCACUAUACAAGUACAGGUCCAUUUACCAUUUAAUCACAAUCACAUAUAUCAAUCUUUGCUUGGAAAAGCCCCCAAAAGAAGAUAUUUGAACUCACAAACAGUAUUGUGGCACAUUAGUAAAGCAGUGAUUCAAGGAUUCAUGGAUAUUUACAACCUUACAAGGACAGGUCCAUUUACCAUUUCCCUUUUGUGCAUGCGUCAGCCACAACGGUUGUCUGCCAGAAGCUGUCAUACAGUGUCUUUUUAUCCAGUUUGAAGCAACAUUUUUACCAUCCAAUGUUUAGAUCGUGAUGCUUUUUACCUCUAGAUUUGAACCGGAUGAAGGAUUUUAGUUAUUGGACGUCUGAAUCUUAAGUUAUCAGAGAAACAAGCUGAGCGCACGUUAGCAGCAGCUCGGCUCGCAGUCCCUCCUGGACGUCCUUUGUCUGCCCAACAGCGUGGGAGAAGCAGUGAUUUUGAAGGCGGAACUGCUUUAUUCAGCGGGUGCGUUUUGUCCACAUAUUUCGGAUGUUGUCAGCCAGAAACUCUGCUCUUUAGGCCCUACAGAGAUUUGUCUGCUGUCUCUUUUGUUUCUGACUAAACAUAGAACCCCUUAGUUACCUGCAUAUGGGCAGAUUUUAGUGUUGGUCUGGAUAAAAACAAUCAGAACUGAGAAAGAUAGAAAGAUACUUUGGGUUGGUGGCUUGAAGAUAGUUGAUUGCUGAGUUCCAAAGUGUCUGUAUUUGACAACCUGGGAAUGAGACUCAACAAUCAACUAUCUUCCUUGGCUCUGAUUGGUUGUUUUCAUUCAGGCCUGGUGGAUUAUUGCAGAUACCAUUAGGAGCUCUAGGAGGAGCCAGAGGAACCUGAUUUUUUCACAGAUUGUCUGUCUCAUGUACUACUGUCAGGAUUAACAACUAAAAAACUACCUGGCCGACUCUGGCUCCUGAAAGUUUGUUAUUCUGUAAUGCCUCACUGCACAGAGAAACACACAGCCAGAUGGUUAGAAGUUACCACAAACAUACACCGAUCAGCCAUAACAUUGAGAACACCUGGGCACCCUGGUGGUCAUAAUGUUCUGCAGCUCCAUACCAACAAACUGUGAUGCACUGUGUGUUCUGACACCUUUCUAACAGAACCAGCAUUAACUGUUUCAGCAGUUUGAGCUACAGUAGCUCGUCUGUUGGAUCGGACAACAUGGGCCAGCCUUCACUCCCCACGUGCAUCAGUGAGCCUUGGCCAGACCCUGUCUCUGGUUCAUUGCUUUUCCUUCCUUGGACCACUUUUGAUACUUUUGGUACUGACCGCUGCAGACCGGAAACACUAUAUGUCUAUCCUGGAGUCAGGAUUACAUGAGAGGCCCAAACCAGAACAAAUGGGGUUUCAGUUGGUUGCAAUCUGCUAUCUCACCACUAGAUGCCACUAAAUCCUACACACUGGCCCUUUAAAAUCCUAUUCAUGUCUUUUUAUACUGUGUUGUGUUUUUUUAUAUCUUGUCCUAAUGCCAGUAUACAGUGUGUCUUAUGUAAAGCUCUUAGAAUGGUCUUGUUGUUGAAAAGUGCCAUACAAAUAAACUUGCCCUGCUCCAAAUACUCACUACUGUAUCAAAUAUGGAUUAAUCCGCAGCUGAAAAUAGGCCUCAACAAAUGCACUGUUUCUACCUGCUUGUAUGAUGUUUGCAAGAAUGUGCACAACUGUUUCAGGUAAUUACUACCACACUAUACAUUUGUGACGUCUUUAAAGAUUCACAUCAUUCAUUCAGUAAGGAACCAGUGGGCUUGGGACCACAGACCACGGACCACAGACAGGGUAGGAAUCCAGAAGGUAUUUAGAGACAGACAUAGAGGGUUUUGGUCUUUUAAUGAUAUUUGUUUCCUGUAAGAACACUAUAGAUAGAAUAAAGUAAAUUAUGUAUUUUCUUGUGGAGAAAUGAAGAAAUAAACAAUGAUACAACA